GCCCGGUUAGCUCAGUUGGUUGGUAGAGCAUGAGAUUCUUAAUCUCAGGAUUGUGGGUUUGUACCCCACAUUGGGUG